rnacentral:tRNA from 1 species
GGCUUCAUGGUCUAGUGGUAUGAUUCUUGCUUUGGGCCACCUUCUCGUCUGCAAGAGGCCCCGCGUUCGAAUCGCGGUGGAGCCC